CUCACUAAAGCCUCUGAUCAGAAUGUGAACGGAUCUUUUCAAGUGUUAUAGGAAAAGCUCAGGAAUUUGAUUAACCUAAGCAAGCCCCCUUUUGCUGCUGGAAGAGGAGCAUACGGCGAAACCAAGAAAGCAGGGGACUCUCCAGCACAGCUUGGAAACAGAGGUGCAACUCUCAUAUUACAGUGUAGGACUUGUGGCAAGACAGGUGGACAGCCAUGUGCCUCUUAGAGGACACUCGAGAAAGUGACUUGAAUGAUCUCUACCGACCAUUUGGACCAACAACUCGAGUGUUCGCUGUCACUGGUUUGAACAAAGGUUUUGGUUGUGUUCAUCUUGUUAACAAGGAAGAUGCUCGGGGAGAGCCAUCGACAAUCUCAUGGAUAUGGCUAUGAUAAUCUCGUCCUCAAAGUUGAGUGGUCUGCACCUCGCUAGAUCAAAGUAGAUGAAUUUCCUCCAUCAGAAAGUUUUAGCUCUAGUGCUUUAAUUAUGUUCGUCCUGGCAUCAUGUUCGUUCUUUUUUCCAGCAUGCUUUUGCGAAGAGGUAGGUGUUGCCCUCAUCAACCGCUCCUCGUUUCUUCGUCAAUAAAGACACGAGAAAGAAAGGAAAAAGAUGGUGAUAAAUAUUUUACCAGACGGGUUUCAACAAAAAUAGAAAGAUAAUUGACUCCAUGUAAUCUUGUUAGACAAAAAAAGCCGGAUCGAGUAUUUUUUUUUUAAUAAAUAAAAAAGAAAAUUUACCUGGAUUAGCCUGUAAA